rnacentral:lncRNA from 1 species
GACUUGGAUUUGGUAGUAGUGUAUGGGUGGCUUCUUUGUAAUUCACAUAAGUACCAACUACUGUAUUUAUAAAAUUGAUCAAUAAGGAGUAAUUAACAAUUGCAAUUUUUCCAAGACCAGAGUUCACUGACACCAAGUCUUUCAUGUAUCGGAAAAGAGCUGUGAAGGAAAAAGCCUGAAACAAGAUUAAUGAGAUUUGCACCACUUCAACCUUUUGUAACCAGCAGCUUCCAACUGCAGAAUCCUCCACCAAGGCCUAAAGUGCCAAAGGAACACUUUUAAUUCAUCAGCAGAGGGACGCUGAAGGCUGUUCUGGAUCAUUGGACAGACAGAAGCCUGAAAGACAGAGAAGGCCUUCAGAACAAACAUCUGCUCUGGCCUGAUUGUGUCUCGUCAACGGGGACCAACAUCAUCCGACGUGUUUUAAAGUGGAUCCAAGACAGCGCUGUCCCCAGCAGACAUUGCAUUUACUCAUUUAUCUGCUUGUUGUUCUCAGACAGAGCAGAGGAAAUGACAAAGCACCAACUCAACCGCUUUAAUAAUGGAAGAUUGAAUUUCCUUUUUUUUUUCAGAUCCUAAGUUAAUGCUAAAGUUUCUCAAAUUUGGCCCUGGAGUACUGGUGCCUUUGCAGCCUCUAAAAACACGUUUUAAUCCAUGAUGUAGUGCCAUUAAAUGAAACUUUUAUGAGAGUUCUG